AAGUCGUAACAAGGUUUCCGUAGGUGAACCUGCGGAAGGAUCAUUACCGAUUUUAGCGGACCUGAUCUUUGAUCAUGGUCUCGCGAAAACUUGUAUUUAAAACCCCACUCUUAUAAAUUGAAUCAUUUUAUUAUGUAUAUAAUAAAUAAAGAUCACUUUCAACAACGGAUCUCUUGGCUCUU
rnacentral:misc_RNA from 1 species